ACACCGACCGGCCAGAUGAGGCACUGGUUGUCCACGGGAACGUCAAGGUGAUGGGGUCGCUCAUGCACCCUUCAGAUUUGCGGGCCAAGGAGCAUGUGCAGGAGGUGGACACCACUGAACAGCUGAAGAGGAUCUCUCGGAUGCGGCUGGUACACUACAGAUACAAGCCUGAGUUCGCUGCUAGUGCAGGCAUUGAAGCUACCGCACCGGAGACAGGUGUCAUCGCCCAGGAAGUGAAGGAGAUCCUGCCGGAAGCUGUGAAGGACACGGGGGAUGUAGUCUUUGCCAAUGGGAAAACCAUAGAGAACUUCCUUGUAGUGAACAAGGAGCGGAUCUUCAUGGAGAACGUGGGGGCUGUGAAGGAGUUGUGCAAGCUGACAGACAACCUGGAGACUCGCAUUGAUGAGCUGGAGCGCUGGAGCCACAAGCUGGCUAAGCUGCGGCGUCUCGACAGCCUCAAGUCAACUGGCAGCUCGGGCGCGUUCAGCCAUGCGGGGAGCCAGUUUAGCCGGGCAGGCAGUGUCCCUCACAAAAAG
rnacentral:lncRNA from 1 species